AGGUGAAUAGGUGAUUGAUUUCUCGAUUUGGGUCGAUUGGAGCAAUCGUUGGCUAUUCUAUCGGCAUGAAUAAUUGAUGAGACAAACUCAAUGUCAAACAUAUUUCUUUGAGUUUUCUUCAUUGAUAGAGUCAAAGGCAUAAAGAUAGGACGACAACUGACAGCACACCCCUGACUAAGCAGUGGAGAGGUAAAGCAUCACAGUAGUCUGGAGGAAACCGACAACACACCGGUGACCAAGCAGUGGAGAAGAGGAGCAUCACAGUAGUCUCGCAUUGCUUAUGGAUUGUGGGGAAUGGAACCACUCUGUUCAACAGCAAUUUUGUUUGGCAAAAGAUUGUCAAGGACACAAGGGAUAGAGGUUGUUUUUAAAUGCCACUGAUGAGAAGGAGUUGUUGAAUGCAAUUUUCAAGCUUGCUGUUGAGUAUCCUCACGCGGACAAUUUAGCUGGCGAGGAGACAAGGCAGCGAUUGAGUACCAGGAUAAGUCUAUUCAAUGUCGCUGAGGCAACAGUUACAAGAUCCUAGAAGAAAACCCGUGGCAGCUCUACACUACAAUAAAGGUGAUAAAUAUGUCUCACCCAAUGGAAGAUAUCAUAUUUAGACAUGAUCAAGGUAGCAAGAUGUUGACCCCAUGGGUCCUUUUGGUGGAAUAAUGAUAGAGUGCGGCACCAAUCAACCUAUUGAGAAAGUGCUUGCAGCUGAAGAUGCAGCGCGAGGAUGUUGCAGCAUUCGAACAACGCCAACGAGCUGCUCUUGCGCCGGAAGCUGGAGGAGCAGCAGCAGGCUGCCGAACUUCAGCACGCCAUUGAGCUCCAGAGCCGCCGCCUCAUGGGUCUCCAGCUGCUCGACCUCAAGGCUCGCGCAGCUGCGACAGCAGCGGCGGCAUCGGCACUGCCAACACCAGUUGCCAAUGCCUUCGCGUCCAGCCAUCCUUUGAGCACCAUGGCAGUCGAGUCGCCACUAGAGUCCGGAGAGUAGCUCAAGCUGAGCAGUGGGUUUGCUCUGGAGGGGAAGCUCAACGGUGGCGACAAGGAAGAAUCUGCUUGCGAGGCGAGCCCUGACGCCGCUGAUAGCGACCAAAGGUGGAUUAAACAACCCAUUUCAUCAUUCUUCUUCCUUGUUAGUUAUGAUUCCCACGCUUGCCUUUCAUGAAUCAUGAUCCUAUAUGUAUAUUGAUAUUAAUCAGUUCUAGAAAGUUCAACAACAUUUGAGCAUGUCAAAACCUGAUCGUUGCCUGUUCCAUGUCAACAGUGGAUUAUAACACGUGCAAAUGUAGCUAUUUGUGUGAGAAGACGUGUGAUCGACUCUUUUUUUAUAUAGAUAGCAUUGAGAUCAA